rnacentral:tRNA from 1 species
GCUGGAUAGAGCGUCGGCCUCCGGAGCCGAAGGUCGUGGGUUCGAGUCCCGCCUGGCGCA